ACAUGUGUUACUUCAAUUUGCUUAUAAAAUUCAUUAGUUUUAUGAUAGCGUUUUGAAACAUUUGUUUCGUUAUUAAGUUUCUACGUUCUUUAUUCGUUUUUUUUGUAUAAAUUCUCCAUGUUAAACGAUGCUUCUUAUCAUUACACGUUGGAUUAAGAUUAGGAUAGAGGAUAACCUGCAUCAGUGAAUCAUUCAAAUAACAUUUGGUUAUUGCUGAGAGUCAAAACAUGUUCAAAGGAUUUAUAUUAUUUACGACUAUUUUACCAUUAGCAUAUGGUAUAUGGUGGGCCAACGGAACACCGUAUUAUGGAAAUUGUGAUUCGCAUGCCGAGUGCCCUAAUGAUACUGCCUGUUUGAGGCCAGGCUUUGGCAGCGCUGAUACUUCGGCACAGAAGAAAUGUUACCGAUG